rnacentral:lncRNA from 1 species
UCUCCUCCCUCCCCCCCUCCUCUCCUCCCUCCAUACUGUACUGUAGUGCUGUCCCAGUUAGGCUGUGGUCUGGAUGGCUCUGGUCCCCCCCUGCCUUCUCCAAGGCUUCAGCAGCCGCAGAUACAAUUGCAAUUCUUGCACCAAAUGCAGCAGCAAAUGGCUAUGAGGGGGGCGGGGCCUCCGGGGGUGUCGCCACGGCUACAUACCGCCAGCCAACCAAGAAGUAAGAGGAAGAGGAGCACACCGCAGCCCCACCCCUAAUCAUGACGACCCCCUACACACACACACACACACACUCAUAAAAUGACCCCCAGCCAUCUGGUGAGCAAUGCCAUGGCACCUUCCCAAAUCAUGGAGAGAAAACCAACCCCUUCCACUUCAUGAAGACAUGAAUGAUCCAAACUGCACUCUUUACUCCCUCACUGCGGAGACUCUGUUGCCUCCCAACUCCCUCACUGCGGAGACUCUGUUGCCUCCCAACUCCCUCACUGUGGAGACUCUGUUGCCUCCCAACUCCCUCACUGUGGAGACUCUGUUGCCUCCCAACUCCCUCACUGUGGAGACUACAGGCAAAAACACUUGUUAUUUUGUAGCGGAGACAAGAUGA